GUUGACCUCGGAUCAGGUAGGGAUAG
rnacentral:rRNA from 1 species